GGAUUGCCCUAGUAACGGCGAGUGAAGCGGCAACAGCUCAAAUUUGAAAUCUGGCUCUUUCAGAGUCCGAGUUGUAAUUUGCAGAGGGCGCUUUGGCGUUGGCAGCGGUCCAAGUUCUUUGGAACAGGACGUCACAGAGGGUGAGAAUCCCGUACGUGGUCGCUAGCCUUCGCCGUGUAAAGCCCCUUCGACGAGUCGAGUUGUUUGGGAAUGCAGCUCUAAAUGGGAGGUAAAUUUCUUCUAAAGCUAAAUAUUGGCCAGAGACCGAUAGCGCACAAGUAGAGUGAUCGAAAGAUGAAAAGCACUUUGGAAAGAGAGUCAAAUAGCACGUGAAAUUGUUGAAAGGGAAGCGCUUGCAGCCAGACUUGCCUGUAGUUGCUUAUCCGGACUUUUGUCCGGUGCACUCUUCUGCGGGCAGGCCAGCAUCAGUUUGGGCGGUUGGAUAAAGGUCUCUGUCAUGUACCUCCUUUCGGGGAGGCCUUAUAGGGGAGACGACAUGCAACCAGCCUGGACUGAGGUCCGCGCAUCUGCUAGGAUGCUGGCGUAAUGGCUGUAAGCGGCCCGUCUUGAAACACGGACCAAGGAGUCUAACAUCUAUGCGAGUGUUUGGGUGUCAAGCCCAGACGCGUAAUGAAAGUGAACGGAGGUGGGAACCUUUUAGGUGCACCAUCGACCGAUCCUGAUGUCUUCGGAAGGAUUUGAGUAAGAGCAUGGCUGUUGGGACCCGAAAGAUGGUGAACUAUGCUUGAAUAGGGUGAAGCCAGAGGAAACUCUGGUGGAGGCUCGCAGCGGUUCUGACGUGCAAAUCGAUCGUCAAAUUUGGGCAUAGGGGCGAAAGACUAAUCGAACUAUCUAGUAGCUGGUUCCUGCCGAAGUUUCCCUCAGGAUAGCAGUAACGUAUUCAGUUUUAUGAGGUAAAGCGAAUGAUUAGAGGCCUGGGGGUUGAAACAACCUUCACCUAUUCUCAAACUUUAAAUAUGUAAGAAGUCCUUGUUACUUGAUUGAACGUGGACACUUGAAUGUACCGUUACUAGUGGGCCAUUUUUGGUAAGCAGAACUGGCGAUGCGGGAUGAACCGAACGCGGGGUUAAGGUGCCAGAAUAUACGCUCAUCAGACACCACAAAAGGUGUUAGUUCAUCUAGACAGCAGGACGGUGGCCAUGGAAGUCGGAAUCCGCUAAGGAGUGUGUAACAACUCACCUGCCGAAUGAACUAGCCCUGAAAAUGGAUGGCGCUCAAGCGUAUUACCCAUACCCCGCCGCCGGGGCAGAAUUUAUGCCCCGGCGAGUAGGCAGGCGUGGAGGCUCGUGACGAA
rnacentral:rRNA from 1 species